rnacentral:lncRNA from 1 species
CUCGCCUCGCGCGUUACAAUUCUCCCUACCUCUUUGUGAAACGCUCCGCACGCGCCGCUGCAGGUGCACGCGCGGGGUCAAGGGUCACAGCGGUGAUCCAGCCCCCCUCAUCCAGCCUACAACAAUAGUCGUUAUUUUCUUUCUUUCUUUGAUUCGAAUUGUAUUCUGAUUAACGAGUGGUACUGGUGGACCAUGCUGCCAUCAGCUAUUGAAUUAAGACUAAACUACCACCGUUGCCCAAAGAAAUUAAGCAAAAUUAGGUCUACCCAUCACUCGUACAAUAUCAUGUGCUUGACAUUAAUGCCCGGAGGAGGUAGGAGAACAGAGACGUUGCCCGCCGUCCCCAAAGCAGGAUGAAUGGACUCAAGCGGUUGGGUUCUGAAAAGCAGCUGCGUCGCAUUCAGGGAAGAGGGGGGUGGGGACUUCGCCGCACCCAGCCUGCGGCUUACCUCACGGAUGCCGACUCACAUUACUGGUCCCAACGCACUGAAUGAGAGGAUAGGUAGAGAGAGAGGAGGAGAGAGCAGAGGAGAGGAGAGGGAAAAGAGAGAAUGGAGGAGAUCAGUUGCAGAGCAAAGGCCUAAGGAGUGGGAGAAGGAGAGUUGGUUUACUUACGAUAUUCAUAAAGCUCUAUAAUACUUUUAAUUAAAUUCAAGUGUACUGUCUUGAAUGAUUUUAUCUGAAAUAAGGGUUGGAGACUGUAUUUACAGUAUCUGCUAUGAUUAACCUUAUAUAACUCUGAUUCUACUACCAGCCUUCUGCUUGUAUGCAUAGCAAUAUCCAUGAUAAAAUCAAACAAAUGUAUGUUUUAAAUGUUCAUUUUGCAUUCCUACAAAACCUUCCAUGUAUUUAGAAGCCUUUUGUUAGCCCUUUAUCGUAUGAAAUAAUUCAAGUUCCCCCAUCAGGUGUGCAGAGGGCACUUCUAGGGUUUAUUAUGUAAAAGUCUAUUAGCAGACCUUCACAGCUUGCCACCACAUGGGUCUGACAGGCAGGCUGCUACACUCUCAGCAUCAUGAUGGAGAUUGAUGUGCACGC